GACGAGGAUUCGCAGACGAUGCUGCUGCAGUCUGACGUAGAUUUUCAGAUACAGGAGCUGCAGACGGACUAGCUUGACGAGAUUCUGGACGACGCAGAUGAGACGAUGCAUACGACGCUGGACAAGGUAUUGGUGCAUCAGGCGAGCGGAAAUCUGGACAGGACGAUUGACGAGAUGGUGCAGACGCUGAGAACGAGGCAGAGAGUGCAGGAGGCGCUUCUACUGGAGGCACAGCUGUCGAGCA